AUCUGAAUCUCAAUUGAUCGUAUCCUCCGCUCAAUUCCCAUCGCCAUCUUCCAGGUUCCACCCGCGAUGGUCAUCUCCUCUAAUCGAUGCCCGCUACAGCGCCACUGAUGAUUCGCGGUUGAGUUACCGAAGAACCACCAGAGGUCCUUUAGUGGCGUCAUUAUGUACAGCAAGCAAAUCAAACACCUUUAGUGGUGCCAUUAUGUACGGCCUUCGAAUUGGCCUGGUGUGGUGUUAUCCACCUACUCAACAAUUUGGCGUUUCAAAGUGCAGCGCUUUUUGAUUCUUUAACGGUUCGGGAUAAUGUUGGUUUUCUUAUGUAUGAGCAUUCAGGAAUGCCCAAGGAUAAAAUUAAAGAACUUGUUGCAGAAACAUUGGUUGCAGUUGGAUUAAAGGUGAGUCAAAGGAAACAUCAUUAAAAAACCGUGGAAUUUUAACCUUUUUUGUGUUGUUUUUAGAAAUUUAUGUAGCGGUGA